GAAGAAUUAGGCUAGAUGGAGAGGAUUAAGUAGGUAUGUUUGAUGCAAGCUCAAGGAUCAUAGUAGAACUAGUUCUGCUUAGCAGUGAAGCAUGGAAACGGCAAUAUUUGAAGUUGGCAAGACACGGCAAAGACACGUUUCGAGGCUGUGUCUGGAAAUUCUGAAAAGUGGAAACGUGUUUCCUAGGUUUCUUAAAAAAAAAAAAAAAAAUGAGACGGAGAAGAAGAAGAGGGAGAAGACUUGCCUGGUCGGCUACAAGAUCGACAUUCAUAGGAGAUCUAAGAGGUGAAGAGAUUUUUGAUGCGUUUGUUGGAUCUAGAAGCAAGAAUUUCAAAUUGGCAUCUACAAUCCAGAUUCGACC
rnacentral:misc_RNA from 1 species